GUCGUGGAGAGGGAAACAACCCAGACCGCCAGCUAAGGUCCCAAAGUAUUGCUAAGUGGGAAACGAUGUGGGAAGGCUCAGACAGCUAGGAUGUUGGCUUAGAAGCAGCCAUCAUUUAAAGAAAGCGUAAUAGCUCACUAGUCGAGUCGGCCUGCGCGGAAGAUGUAACGGGGCUAAGCAAUACACCGAAGCUGCGGCAAUGUCUUUUAGACAUUGGGUAGGGGAGCGUUCUGUAAGCCGUUGAAGGUGAAUCGUAAGGUUUGCUGGAGGUAUCAGAAGUGCGAAUGCUGACAUGAGUAACGACAAAGGGGGUGAAAAACCUCCUCGCCGGAAGACCAAGGGUUCCUGUCCAACGUUAAUCGGGGCAGGGUGAGUCGACCCCUAAGGUGAGGCCGAAAGGCGUAAUCGAUGGGAAACGGGUUAAUAUUCCCGUACUUCUGACUAUUGCGAUGGGGGGACGGAGAAGGCUAGGUGGGCCAGGCGACGGUUGUCCUGGUUCAAGUGCGUAGGCUUGAGAGUUAGGUAAAUCCGGCUCUCUCUAAGGCUGAGACACGACGUCGAGCUACUACGGUAGUGAAGUCAUUGAUGCCAUGCUUCCAGGAAAAGCCUCUAAGCUUCAGAUAGUCAGGAAUCGUACCCCAAACCGACACAGGUGGUCGGGUAGAGAAUACCAAGGCGCUUGAGAGAACUCGGGUGAAGGAACUAGGCAAAAUGGUACCGUAACUUCGGGAGAAGGUACGCUCUUGAUGGUGAAGUCCCUCGCGGAUGGAGCUGACGAGAGUCGCAGAUACCAGGUGGCUGCAACUGUUUAUUAAAAACACAGCACUGUGCAAAAUCGCAAGAUGACGUAUACGGUGUGACGCCUGCCCGGUGCCGGAAGGUUAAUUGAUGGGGUUAGCGCAAGCGAAGCUCUUGAUCGAAGCCCCGGUAAACGGCGGCCGUAACUAUAACGGUCCUAAGGUAGCGAAAUUCCUUGUCGGGUAAGUUCCGACCUGCACGAAUGGCGUAAUGAUGGCCACGCUGUCUCCACCCGAGACUCAGUGAAAUUGAAAUCGCUGUGAAGAUGCAGUGUACCCGCGGCUAGACGGAAAGACCCCGUGAACCUUUACUACAGCUUGGCACUGAACAUUGAACCUACAUGUGUAGGAUAGGUGGGAGGCUAUGAAGACGUGACGCCAGUUGCGUUGGAGCCGUCCUUGAAAUACCACCCUUGUAUGUUUGAUGUUCUAACUUAGACCCAUUAUC
rnacentral:rRNA from 1 species